ensembl:miRNA
UGUCUAAAUUGCAUGUCAAAUUGUAAUCCCCAGGCCCUUCCUCCAAUACUGGGAAUUACAAUUUGACAUGCAAUUUAGACA